rnacentral:rRNA from 1 species
UACGUAGGGCGCAAGCGUUAUCCGGAAUUAUUGGGCGUAAAGAGCUCGUAGGCGGUUUGUCGCGUCUGCCGUGAAAGUCCGGGGCUCAACUCCGGAUCUGCGGUGGGUACGGGCAGACUAGAGUGAUGUAGGGGAGACUGGAAUUCCUGGUGUAGCGGUGAAAUGCGUUGAUAUCGGAAGGAACUCCGGCGGCGAAAGCGAUGCACUGGCUGGUUUCUGACGCUGAGGUGCGAAAGCCAGGGGAGCAAACGGG